CAGGGUAACAGAAAACACUGACCAGAUUUAGAACCCUUGAUUGGGGAAAUUGCUCUCUGAAACUCUCUACCUACAAAAUUAAAUAAUUAAAAAUAAAGAAAAAUAUCAUUUACCUUAUUACUGAAAUUAUUUUAAUAGCUAACUUUAGAAAAAUUAGAAAAUUUAAAUCAGUCAAAAUGAGGUAAAUAAGAACACCUGUAGCUCUACAACAGAGAGAUUGCCACUAUUGACAGGUUGGCUUCUAUAUUUUCAUUCUUUACACUCAUACGUACAUGAAUGAUGCACCUUAUUCAUAUGUAUUUGCUUUUGAAAAACAGGGAUUGUGUUUUAAGUAGUACUUAAAUUACGAGUGGAUAUCUUUGAAACAGAACAGAGUUAAAUUUAAUCACAGUCGUAAUCGUAAUCUUUAUAAUUUACCAUGCCAGGCACUGGUUUAGUAUAUUGAGUAUUUGAUCUCCUUUAAUCCUUCCAACAACCUUAUGAUAUUGGUAUAUUGUUAUAAAUUUUACAGAUUAAGAAACUGAGGCUAUAACCAGGCAACAGAUCAAGAUCCUGCCACUGGUUACUGGUGGAUCUAGAAGUCAAUCUCACAUGAAAUAUGGAUAAAGGGAGAGACCCAGAGGAAACUUUUUGAGCGAUGCUGGCCCCCACAAGACAAAGUAAUGAAGACCAAAGAGGGUGAAGCUAACCAGGAGCUACUGAUCAGUGAAAUUGGUUGCAACUGGGUGGAAGAGCUGCCCUGCUGGGAACUCCAACAAAUGGCAACAUCACUCAAAGAAUGCAAGAUCCUGCUGUGAAACAAUACAAAGUGGCCUGCACUUGAAUGCCUGGCUCAGGAACUUCCACAGUCAUCUGGCUCUUUAAGAAAGUUUGGUGAUAGAGAUAGGAUUUCUAAUGAGGAAGCAGCCACAAAGAAGCUGAUAUUGAUUCUGCUCUCAACAAGCAAAAUUCAGAAGAGGAUGCCCAUGUCUUGGAAUACCUGCAAUUAAUCUACAACCCCAGCAAUGCAGCAGCUGAGAGGCAUUUAUAACUAUGGCAAAAGAAAAAAGAAGUAAUUGGCUGCUUCCUUUACUCUAGCUCACUUUCCAUUGCCUAUAAUGUCUCAACCAAAAUGGUCUUUUGAAUAUUCAAAGAUCUCAGCUCAAUUUUAUUAAAUUAUCAUGAAUUUGAAAUUAAUAGGGCAUUACUAGCUUAACUUAAAAUUCUGACUUUUAAAUUGGUCUCUCUAGCAAACAAUAUAAUGAGCCAGAACUUGUAGGGGGUACAUGCGUUGUACUCACACAUAUAGAUUUACAAACAUAAAACACUAAAUUCUAUCAGCUUUAAAGAAGAACUAAUCUGUGCCCAUAAACUCAUUGAGAUAUCACUUUUCAGAAAGCAAAAAACAUUAAAGUGCCAUAUGCGACUGGAAAUAUUUUUGGAAAAUUAACCAGAGGGUAAUAUAAAGGCCAGAUAUGAAAAUAAUUGAUAGAAAAAGCUACAUCUUAAUCUUUGAGGAAAAAAGUCAAAGAUAUAGGAUAUUUUAUUCACAUGAAAUUCUGGUGCAAUAAAUUCAACAUUAAUUAUUGAUAAUAAAACUCUCAAGUAAAUAUAAACAGAGAGGGAAUUUUUAACCUGCUAAAAGGUAUAUCAGAAAACCGCCCUUAAACAACACACUGAAUAAUAAAAUGUUGAAGGCAUUUCCUUUAGAGUCGGUAGGAAGACAUUAUCAAUGACUCUACCCAACUUUGGACUGGAGAUCUUAGCUAAUGAAUCAAGAAAGACAAAGAAUGAAAGAAAAAUUUGAAGAAUUGCGGGGAAAAGGCAUAGAUUUUGAAGAUGAUAUGAUUAUCCAUGUAGAAAAGCCAAAAAGUGUACAAAAAAAUUAAAAAUUAAAAGAGUUCUGCAAGGUUGCUGGACCCAAAAUCUACGUUCAGUCAAUAGCAUUUCUGUAAACAGACUAAAUACACCAUUUAAAAUAGAACAGGUAAAAAAAAGGAAAGGCAAAGUACCUAGAAAUUAAUUUAGUGAAAGAUCUGCUAGAUAUUUAUGAAGAAAAAUAUAAAACGCUACUGAAGAACUUAAAAGAAAAUCUAUAUAAAUGGAGGGAGAUACACAUGUUCUUGCACGAUGAGACUCAGUAUCUUAACGUGUAAUUUAUCCCACAGUAAAUCUAUAAAGCCAAAGCAAUUCUAGCUGAAAUCUCAUCAUGAUCUUUUACGGAACUUGACAAAUUGCCUCUAAAAUUUAUACAUUAGUGAAGAGCUAAUUAUAGGCAAAAAGACAAUAUUGAAGAAGUUGGCCCACCUGCCACACACAAGGGCUUAUUAAGAAGUAACAGUAAUAAUAAUAGUACAAAGCAUGCCCAAUAGAACAGUGGAAUAAAAAUAUGGAAUGAAUACCCUAAUUAGACUUAAAAGCUUUUACACAGGAAAGGCAACCACUGGAAAAAUGAAAAAGUAACAGACUGAAUGGGAGAAAAUAUUUGCAGACGAUGCUACCAAUAAGAGAUUAAUUUCAAAAAUAUACAAACAGCUCAUACAUACCAAGAUCAAGAAAUAAACUAGUCUUGACAUUGAAAUCUGGGCAAUAAUUUGUUACCAUUGCAGAUAAGGGAUUAAUAUCCAGCACAUAUAAACAGCUCAUACAACUCAGCAUCAAAAAAUAAACAACAAUUAAAAAAUAAGCAAAGGAACUGAAUAGACAUUUUUCCAAAUUUUUCCAUACGGAUGGCCAACAGGCACAUGAAAAGAUGCUCAACAUCACUAAUCAUCAGGGAAAUGUAAAACCACAAUGAGAUAUCACCUCACACCUGUCAGAAUGGUUAUCAUCAAAAAGAACACAAACAACAAAUGUUGAUGAGGAUGUGGAGAAAAGGCAACCCUUGUACAUUGAUGAUGGGAAUGUAAAUUGGUGCAGCCACUGUGGAAAACAGUAUGGAGGUUUCUCAAAAAAAUAAAAAUACCAUAUGACCCAGCAAUUCCACUCCUGGGUAUAUAUCCCAAAAACACAAAAGCACUAAUUUGAAAAAAUAUAUGCACCCCAAUGUCCAUAGCAUUACUCAUAAUUGCCAAGUUGUGGAAACAACCU
rnacentral:lncRNA from 1 species